rnacentral:lncRNA from 1 species
GAUGGUAGAAAAUUGCGCGGUGCGUUGAUAUCUCUAUGUAUUCCCGACAUGUGGGCCUUUCUUCCGUAUUUCCUGAUAACCCCCUGCGGAAAUAGACAAACACCAAAACUCGUGGAAUUCUGUCAGAUAAAACCCUAAGUCUAGAUGUUGAUUUCAUUUGGAUCCUUUUCUUUGUUUAUUUGAUAAUUAAAUUUGAUACUUAAGGACCGUCAACAAACUCCCCCAAGCUUACCUCUUGCUCGUCCCUGAGCAAGGAUAGACUCGGCAAUGGAUUAGAAGUUGUUGCAAAUAUCUUUAAAAAUUGACGGUACACAUGCUUUUUAAAUAAGAUCUCAUCUCUGAGUUAGAGUAAACUGUCAAGACUUAAAACUCACUGACUUUACCUUCACCAUGGGACUUGUAACUGUCACUUCUGUCUUGAGAGGUUAAAAGAUAGACACAGUCUAGCCAAGUGCCAUGUCUCUUAUUCUUGAUCAGCUAUAGCUCUGGGUUUUUUUUUGCAUAUUUUCAAAUAAAACUCAGAGAUUUCUUGUAUGACUCUCUCAUAUCUCUCUUUUGUGGUAUUUCUGGAUCCUUACCAUGGCAUUGAUGGUAUAUGCCUUCUCUCAAGAUAUGUGGUAUUUAUGGUAUAAGGCAUAGUGAUAUUGCCUUCUCUCUCACCCUACUCUAAUAAGGCUUGAUAUCUGGAGCUCAUAGGUGGGAGACAGUUAAUACAUACUUACAAGACAUUUAUUGUAUAGUCAAACCAUGGAUCCAAAGAAACAAAUCAAUAAGCCAAAUCAAGAUGUGCAUGUGUGGCGAAUGAAUGGUGUAUGGUGAUGAUGGUGAUAACAAUGGUGAAAGUCUAAUUCUACUUUUGCUCUUUUGAGGGGAUACAUACCUUCCUUGCUUUUUGAAACUUUAUGAGAAGAAUGAGAUGCUCUUCUUUUUCUUUCCUCUCAGGUGGGUAUCUUGUAUCCCUAAUUCUACUGUCGGACACUUGUCCAUUUUUACCUCUCGUCUCACUUUUUCUUUCUUUCGAGGUUCCGGGCACUUGCCCCUUUUUAUUUCCUCGUUUAUUUUUUUUUCUUUUUUCUCUUUUUUUCAGAGCACUCAUCUCUUGAGAUAAUAUAGCAAGUGGUAGUAACCAAAAUAUUUGGAGCAUUUAUUUCACAGGGAAUAAGAGGGAUAUGAAAAUGUUUUUGACUAUUCUCUCCCGGAUUAGGAGUAGAAUAUUUUUGGGUGAUUCUGGAGAUGGAAAUGGAUGGAUAUAUGUGGAUGGUACUUCCGGAGUAGAAGUAGCAUAUAUGAGUGAACGUGCAAGUGAAUCUUGAUUUAACCACAUGACAAGCUCCUAAGGGUCUACACAGCUUGACCACACUCAAUGCUCAUAAACAGUAAAUAGUAAAUGUGUGGCUCAAAGUCUAGCAAGCAUGUAUAUAUGGCUGUGGUAGGAAUUUAAACUCUCAGGAACUCAUCAUGCAAUAUUUUAAAGAUUUUUCAAAGAUAAAAUUCUCCAGAAUUCUAGCAUCUCUAGGAACAGAUAAACAGCAGCCCAACCUCCCCAUAUCAUAUCCGUUAACAACUUAGAUUUCACAUCAAGUUUUCAUCCCACAAAUUUAGGUCUAGAGCAAGAUUUAAAUUAUAACAGUUAUGUCUAAACUUGAGAGAGAACUUAAAAUGUGCAAAUUAGGCAGAGCAACUAUUCAUCAUAUCCAUGCUAGAGUUUUAUUAUUAAGAUUCAGAUUAGCAUAGCCACUUUAUUUAUUUAUUAAACAUACUAAGCAAAAGAUAUAUAUAAGCACAAAAUCUUUAUUUGGUUUUUCAUAGUUUAUGUAUUUUAAUAUUCUAACAUAAUAUAAGUAUAAAGAUAGAUAGAAAUACUUAGCGAGAAUAAUGGGGGUGCUUUCCCCCAAGCUGAAUUUUGACGUAAUUUCUCUUGAUGUAGCUAGCAUGUGGCAGAGGUGUAUUUGAAAGUCAGCAGCAUUCUGACAGCGAUUAGAAUAUCCUCCGUCUGCUAGUCUUUUUGAUUCUUAAAUUCUGUGGAGCUCAAAUAGACAACAAAGCUUUGUGGAACUGGUUAUGUGUUAGCAUAAAUAUCUAGCCUUUAUCAUGUUGAGCUUUCUUAAUAAAUGUUAUUUAUUUAGCAGGAUCAUACACUUAUUAUUAUUAUUAUUAUUAUUAUUAUUUUAUGUAUAUAUAUUUUUUAUAUAUUUUUAUUGUAAGAUGAAAACUUAUUUAUUUUAUUUUUAUGCCACCACAGUGAAUGUUCUUAUGGGUUUUAUGCUAUGAGCAUACUCACAUGGGGCUUACUAUUUUUUUAAUAUUUUUAUUUUCUUUUCAAGAUAGCAUGAACCUGAUUAACUAAGCAAACUAUUGAAUAGAAAAGGAUAACUACCAAGUUUACCUCUUGGCAAGGCGUUCGGUAUUUUUAUGUCCUCCGAACGGGACUCUCUGUUUUCUCAGUCGUCCUGGGAUUCGCUAGGUGGCGUAGUCGGUGAUUCCGGCGGCGCCUAUCUUCGUGUAUAACUAUCUUCUCCCUCCACACCUGACUCGGUGCUAUGGUCUCCUCAGGACAGUUCUGUUCAAGCUGUAUGUCUUCAGUCCUUAUCACUUCUCCUUCGUAGUCUACCCAUCCGUUCUUGAUGAUUUGCCUCCUCUUGGUUGCGGUUGCGUCGUCUUCUUGUCCUGACCUGCAUAGAUUCUUCAACUAUAUAGUUAUGGUCAGUAAAAUAGUUGCGUACCUUCUCAGAGGGGAAGUACAUGUGGACAUCUCCGGUUUCAAUGUAGAUGAUUGCUUUGAUAGUGUUGAGGAACGGUCUUCCAAGGAUGGUGGGUGGAUCAUAUUCGUCUUCUCCCAUGUCAAUGACCUGAAAAUCAUCUGGAGCUGAAUAUAUUGGUUGUAGGGGCAUGGUUCCAUGCAGGAGCUGAUAAGUUACUGCGGCCAUUAUGUUGUCGUCAGAUCCGGUGUCGUAGAGUGUCUUCUGAAAAGAGUAUCCAUUGAUUGUGCACUCGAUGCUUGGAACACCAGGGUCGUCCUUCUUGAUCGACAAAGGUGACUUGAGUCGACGAUGUUGACCUCUUUCGACAAGGAUCCAAUAUUUUAAGUCUUCUGGACAAGACUUUCCACCAUCUUCAUCCUUUAGGUGCAUCAUUUGAUUAGGUGUGGACCCUGAUGUCUGCACCUCUUGAUACGGUGUCACCCAUGUUCUUCUUUGCCCAGCAGUUCGAAGUAUGGUGUUGGCAAUAUCCUGCUCAGUGUGUUUGUGCUCAUAGAUCCAGGUCCUUCACUUGGUGGAGUCUGGGAGUUGUAAAACUCCUCCAUGUUUUGCUUGAAGUGUACCUGUUCAUAGAGACAAGGCAGAGAUCAAGUGCAUGGGCUCUGUUGGUGGAAAACACCAACAGAACCAUAAGUGAAUUUGUUCUUCUCUAACCUUAAGCAUAGUGAGCAAGACAAAGUUGAUGGAUAAUAAGAUGAUGAGUAGUAUUUGAAACAUUUGUCAGAUCAGAUGGCUCAACCUAAUGGAAAGAUAAUCUAUCUAUAUUUAUGUUUUGUUUAUAUCUUCCAAAUAUUGAAUGUGCAACAUAUUAGCUUAUAUGUUUAGGAGCGUGGGAUCACGAGGGUAGUACUAAGGACAAAGAUUAAAGGACUAAACAUGUUGAAUUAAUUGAGUUGGUUAUCUGGAGUUAUAAAUCAUACAUGUUUGUCUCUUUAUUUAUGUGAAUGCUAGAACCAAGGAGAAACUUAUAAAAGCGAUAGUCAAGUACCUUAAGGUGUUACCUUACUUGAAGAGUGACGGUACAGUAUCUGUGGAAGCUUUCCUUUCUUAGCGGUUGUGCAUCGUGUUUGUGGCACCCUCCAUGAAUCAUCUCUUAUGAGCCACGUCUUUCUUGUGCAAAUUGUUAAACUUCAUGUGUCACUUUCUUCAUCUCCAAUGCGAGUUUAUCUCAGGACUUCCCAGGUUAAUAUUGAAAGUUUUCCUGCAGGGGUUAGUCCAACAAAAUAUCCCCUAUCUACUAUAACAUACUAUUGGCUUAAAAAUCAACCUAGACACCAUGUCUAAUUUUAUUUAGAAGGACAUUUUAACCUAAGCACCAUGCUUAAUUUAAAACCCCUUGGAAGUAAGAUCAUCAUUCCUAAACUAAGCACCAUGCUUAAUUAAGAGAUAAAUGAAACUAUUCCAAACCUAGACAUAUACUAAAGCAAAUAAAGGUAGCAUGAGAGCAUUUAUAGAGAUCUACUUAAGUGGAGAUGAAGUAGUGUAAUUAGUAUUUAACAAAUUGAGCAUGUCUCAAAGGUAAGGACAACCAACGUAGCAACAUGGCAAAAGAUGUUUUUAUGUAAAGUACUCCCCCAAGCUUGAAAUUUACAAAAUUCAAGUUUGGAUGUAUUUAAUUCAAUGUUGUCUGAUGGUUGGUUGGACAUACCCUGUGCUUGUCAUUCAUCCGAUCUUCUUGCUCCAAUCCUGGAAAGGUUAGUGACAAGAAUACCCGAAGGAAUAAUUCUACAAUUAUCUUUAUAUGCUCAAUACACAAAGCAAUGUUGCAAAUAAUUAGAAGUUCAUGUUAUGAUCUGAUAAGUGCUUGUUUUAGGACACUAAGCUUGUUCUUGGGAAACCAUCAAGUUAUGUUGGUGAAGUGGUUUCCCCUCUAACACCUACCUAUAUCAAGAUCAACUCAACGAGAUCUGCAAUAUUUAUUAUAGACAUAUACAUCGACAACCGCCCUUUUAAAGUUUUUAUAAAUGAAGAGGAAGAGGGAGUUGGAGAUCUCAAAUGUGGUAAGGAUGGAGAGACAAAUUGAUUGGAGAGAUGUUUUAUAUGAGCAAGGACUGGGUGAGGUAUUUAUGAAAUAACUUCCAUGCUCACAGUUGUUUCUCUCAAACUCCAAGGAUGAUUCUUCAUGAAUGCUUGAAAUUCCUCUAGGAUUGUCUCUCAAGUUUGUUUUAUCUAACCAUUCAAUGGUGAUAGCACAUGGAUUUUUAAUGCCCUCUAGCCAUUGAUGUUGCUCUUCUCGAUCCUCCUUCUUAUGCAUGGGAUGUCUAGAGAGAUUCAUAGGAUUAUCGGGAGGUUCAAGAGAAAGAGCAUAGUAGAAAUUAUUAAGCUCAAGGAUGGGAUGGAUAGCCGAAUUAUGGGAUUGAAAUGUUUGGAAAUCGGCUAUUGAAACUUCCUUUCCUCGUCUGGGAGAUGAUUCCUUCUCUAUCUCUAAGAUUAUUCUAUGAAGACUAGUGCAAGAAGGAUGUCUACGAAUGAAGACAUACCUUCCUUUACUAAUAGAUAAAGAAAGAAAGACUCUACCAAAGGUUAUAUGAUUAAGACCAAGUGAAAAUAUCUAGGAAAAACAUGGUCUUGUAGGGCUAGGUCUAAACCAGAAUUUAUAGAAAAAUUAAAAGAUUCCCUAGGUGUAGCUAAAAGUGCAUUAUCUUUUUGAUUAAAAGAUAGGACCUCAGCUAUAGAAAAGGGUUGGUUUUGACCUAUUGCAAUCAACUCCGGACACAGAUCAUAAUUAGGGGCAGGACGUGUUGACUCCCAUGGUCUAUGGCUGGUCUCCGAAGGUGCAAAGAAUUUAAUAAUAGGUAUGGAAUUUGAGUUAUCCAUAAAGAUAAAAAUAAAAAGAUAAAAGAAUAAAAGUAUAAAAGUAUAAUACAAGAUAAUAGCAAGACUCAAAGUUAUCUCAGCAAACCGUCUUUCUCCCCGGCAACGGCGCCAGAAAUGCUUGUUGAUAUUUGGUAACGCAAUAAGGAAACGAUCCGCAAGUGCACGGAUAUCGGUGAGCAUUUCACCCGGGAGGUUAUCCAGAGUUAUCGUAUUUAUAUUUUUACCACUGGGAGAAAGGGUGCAUCUGACUAACCAAAUCUAUUGCUACUAUCCCUUUAGGCACAAAGAAUGUCUUUCGAUGUGAGUGAUAAAUAGAGAAGACUGCAACCGUAGUUUCCUUCUAACCUUGGUAAGGAUGAUCUACUGUUCUAAUGGGGAGGCUAACGGAAUCUAGACACCACAAAGGAUGUUCAACCCGCACCUAUAAACCCUAUCCUUCCUGCUAACGAGAUGUGAUCUACAAAGGUAACUCGGAAUUGUCACGUUCCUCACUACUACCACGGUCCAGCUAGUCAGGGAAUAUCUAUGAGUACCUCAGCCUAAACACCACGUUUACGCCAGCAAUGAUUACUCUAAACUCUACGCGAAGAGAUUAAAGUAAACUCAUAAACCAUAAGAACAAUAAAACAAGAACUUACUAGAAUUUAGAAGUCGAAAUACUGAAGAAUCCUAGAAGCAAGCUUCGGGUUAGGAGAACUUGAUCCCGCAGGUACAAGCUUGGAGUAGACACCGACAGACCGGGCUUCCUCCAAUCUACACCUCCACUCUAUCUCUCUCAAUCUAGUAGAAACUAGAAGAUCUAUUUCUACUUUACAUUGGUUGCUAAGCCUAAAAAGAAAUAUUAAUUAGAGAAGAGGUUUUCCUUCGAGGGCACCCCUCAAUCUCUAUGAUAAUUUCUUGUCUUCUCCAGGGGCCAGGGGGGUCUCCUUAUAUAGUCCUCCUCCUCUAUGCGUUUUUGGGUCGGUAGGCGAGGUGGUACUAUGUUUUCCUUGAUCCAAUAGGUCAGUGGAGAUCUCCCGAGAGAAAGAGUCCUGAUUGGGCUCGGCAGGUGGGCGGGCGCCCAAGGAAACUGGGCGGGCGCCCAGGUCCUGACCCCGUUUCGCCUUCGCUUCCUUCCCAUGGCUUCUAGAGUCUUCUAGAUGGUAGAAAAUUGCACGGUGUGUUGAUAUCUCUAUGUAUUCCCGACAUGUGGGCCUUCCUUCCGUAUUUCCUGAUAACCCCCUGCGGAAAUAGACAAACACCAAAACUCAUGGAAUUCUGUCAGAUAAAACCCUAAGUCUAGAUGUUGAUUUCAUUUGGAUCCUUUUCUUUGUUUAUUUGAUAAUUAAAUUUGAUACUUAAGGACCGUCAACAAUCGUAACAUGAACUUCUAAUUAUUUGCAACAUUACCUUGUGUAUUGAGCAUAUAAGGAUAAUUGUAGAAAUAUUCCUUCAUGUAUUCUUGCCACUAACCUUUCUAGGAUUGGAGCAAGAAGAUCAGAUGAAUGACAAGCACAAGGUAUGUCCAACCAACCAUCAUACAACAUUGAAUUAAAUUCAUCCAAACUUGAAUUUCGCAAAAUUCAAGCUUGGGGGAGUACUUUACAUAAAAACAUCCUUUGCCAUGUUGCUAAGUUGGUUGUCCCUACCUUUGAGAGAUGCUCAAUUUGUUAAGUACUAAUCACACUACUUCAUCUCCACUUGAGUAGAUCUCUAUAAAUGCUGUCAUGCUACCUUUGUCUAUUUACUAGCAAGUGUUGGUUUGGAAGUACUCGACAUACUUCCAUUGGCAUUUAAAUUAAGCAUGGUGCUUAGGUUAAAUAGCCUUCCUUAAUCUGAUUAGACAUGGAGUCUAGUUUGGUUACUGAACUAAAAAAAAGUGCUUGAGUAGAUAUUGGUAUAUUUUGUGGGACUAACCCCUGCAGGAAAACUUUCAAUAUCAACCUGGGAAGUCCUGAGAUAAACUCACAUUGGAGAUGAAGAAAGUGACACAUGAAGUUUAACAAUUUGCACAAGAAAGACGUAGCUCAUAAGAGAUGAUUCAUGGAGGGUGCCACAAACACGAUACACAACCGCUAAGAAAGGAAAGCUUCCACAAGGUGAUACUGUACCGUCACUCUUCAAGUAAGGUAACAUUUUAAGGUACUUGACUAUCACUUUUAUAAGUUUCUCCUUGGUUCUAGCAUUCACAUAAAUAAAGAGACAAACAUGUAUGAUUUGUAGCUCCAAAUUAACCAACCCAAUUAAUUCAGCAUGUUUAGUCUUUUAAUCUUUGUUCUUAGUACUACCUUCAUAAUCCCACACUCCUAAUCAUAUAAGCUAAAAUGUUGCACAUUCAAUCUUUAGAAGAUAUAAACAAAACAUAAAUAUAGAUAGAUUAUCUUUCCAUUAGGUCGAGCCAUCUGAUCUGACAAAUGUUUUAAAUGCUACACUCUUGAUCCAUCAACUUUGUCUUGCUCACUAUGUUUAGUGUUAGAGAAGAACAAAUACACUUUUGGUUCUGUUGGUGUUUUCCACCAACAGGGCCCAUGCACUUGAUCUCUGCCUUGUCUCUAUGAACAGGUACACUUCGAGCAAAACCUAAAGGAAUUUUACAACUCCCAGACUCCACCAAGUAAAGGACCUGGAUCUACAAGCACAAACACACUAAGCAGGAUAUUGCCAACACCGCACUUCGAACUGCUGAGCAAACAAAGAACAUGGAUGACUCCGUAUAAAGAGGUGCAGACACCAAGGUCCACACCUAAUCAAAUGAUGCACCUAAAGGAUGAAGAUGAUGAGAAGUCUUGUCCAGAAGACUUAAACCAUUGGAUCCUUGUCGGAGGAGGUCAAGAUCGUCGACUCAAGUCACCUUUCCUGACAAGAAGGACGACCCUAGUGUUUCAAGCAUCGAGUGCACAAUCAAUGGAUAAUAUUUUCAGAAGACACUCUAUGACACCGGAUCUGACGACAACAUAAUGACCGCAGUCACUUAUCAGCUCCUGUAUGGAACCAUAACCAAUAUACAUUCAGCUCCAGAUGAUUUUUAGGUCAUUCACAUGGGAGACGACGAGUACGAUCCACCCAUCAUCCUUGGAAGACCGUUCCUCAGCACUAUCAAAGCCAUUAUCUAUAUUGGAACCGGAGAAGUCCACAUGCACUUCCCCUCUGAGAAGGUACGCCGCUAUUUUACUGACCCUAACUAUUUAGUUGAAGACUCUAAGCAGGUCAGGACAAGAAGAAGACAACGCAACCGCAACCAGAGGAGGCAAAUCAUCAAGGACGGAUGGGUAGACUAAGAAGGAGAAGUGAUAAGGUCUGAAGACAUACAGCUUAAACAGAACUGUCCUGAGGAGACUGUACCACCGAGUCAGGUGUGGAGAGAGAAGAUAGUUAUACACAAAGAGGAGGCGCCGCCGGAAUCACCGACUACACCACCUAGCGAAUCCCAGGACGACUGAAAACACAAGGAGUCCCGUUCGGAGGACUUAAAAACACCGAAUGCCUUGCCAAGAGGUAAACUUGGUAGUUAUCCUUUUCCUUUCAAUUAUUCAUUUAUAGUUUGCUUAGUUAAUCAGGUUCAUGCUAUCUUGAAAAGAAAAUAAAAAUGUUAAAAAAAUAGUAAGCCCCAUGUGAGUAGACUUGUGGUUUAAAAAACCCAUAGGUAUAUUGACUGUGGUGGCAUAAAAUAAAUAUAUUUUCAUCUUACAAUAAAAAUAUAAAAAUAAUAAGUGCAUGAUCCUGCUAAAUAAAUAACAUUUAUUGAGGAGGCUCAACAUGAUAAAGGCUACAUAUUUAUGCUAACACCUAAUCAGUUCCACAAAGCUUUGUUGUCUAUUUGAGCUCCACAAAAUUCAAGGAUCAAAGAAGACUAGCAGACGGAGGACAUCCGAAUCGCUAUCAGGGUGCUGCUGACUUUCAAAUACACCUCCACCACCUGCUAGCUAUAACAGAAGAAAUUACGUCAAAGUCUAGCUUGGGGGAGAGCACUCCCAUUUAUCUAGCUAAGUGUUUCUACUCGUGUUUAUACUUUACUCAAAUAAUAAAAGAUGCAUAAUCAUGAAAACCCAAAUAAAGAUUUUGUGCUUUUAUAUAUAUAUCUUUGCUUAGUUUGCUAAAUAAAUAAAUAAAUAAAGUUUGCUAUGAACCCUCAUGAUAAACUCUCACAUGGAAAUGAUGAAUAGUUGCUCUGCCAUGACUAGUUCUUAAAAUUGAAAUCUCUCUCAAGUUUAGGCAUAACUGUUAUAAUUUAAAGCUUGCACUAAACCUAAACUUGUGGGAAAAGUACUUGAUCUAAAGUCUAAGUCGUUAACGGAUAUGAUAUGGGAAGGUUGAGCUGCUGUUUAUCUGUUCCUAGAGAUGCUAGAAUUCUGGAGAGUUUUAUCUUUGAAAAAUCUUUAAAAUAUCACGUGAUGAGUUCCUGUAUGAUGAGAGUUUAAAAUCCUACCACAGCCAUAUAUACAUGCUUAUUAGACUUUGAGCCAAACAUUUACUUUUUACUGCUUAUGAGCAUUGAGUGUGGUCAAGCUGUGUAGACCCUUAGGAGCUUGUCAUGUGGUUAAAAUCAAGAUUCACUUGCAUGUUCACUCGUAUAUACUGCUUCUACUCCGGAAGUACGCAUCCACAUAUAUCCACUCAUUUCCAUCUCCAGAUUCACCCAAAAUUAUUCUACUCCUAAUCCGGGAGAGAAUAGCCAAAAACAUUUUCCUAUCCCUGUUAUUCCCUUUGAAAUAAAUGCUCCAGUUAUUUUGGUUACUACCACUUGCUACAUUCUUUCAGGAGAUGAGUCCUCUAAAAAAAGAGAAAAAAAUAAAAUAAUACGAGGAAAUAAAAAGAGGCAAGUGCCCGGAACCUCGAAGAAAAGAAAAAGUGAGACGAGAGGUAAAAAUAGACAAGUGUCCGACAGUAGAAUUAGGGGUACAAGAUACCCACCUCAGAGAAAAGAAAAAGAAAAUAUAGAGCAUCUCAUUCCUCUCAAAAAGCUUCAAAGUGCAAGAAAGGUAUGUAUCCCUCAAAAGAGCAAAAGAAUUAGACUUUCACCAUUGUUAUCACCAUCAUCACCAUACACCAUUCACUCGCCACACAUGCACAUCUUGAUUUGACUUAUUGACUUGUUUCUCUGGAUCCAUGGUUUGACUAUGCAAUAAAUGUCUUGUAAGUAUGUAUUAGCUGUCUUCCACCUAUGAGCUCCAGAUAUCAAAACCUUAUUAGAGUAGGGUGAGAGAGAAAGUAAUAUCUCUAUGCCUCAUACCACAAAUACUACAUACUUUGAGAGAAGGCAUAUACCAUUACUGCCUUGGCAAGGAUCCAGAAAUACCACAAAAGAGAGAUUUGAGAGAAUCAUAUAAGGAAUCUCUGAGUUUUAUUUGAAAAUCUGCAAAAACUCCAGAGCUAUAGCUGAUCAAGAAUAAGAGACAUGGCGCUUGACUUGACCGUUCUAUCUUUUAACUGCUCAAAAUGCAAGUGACGGAUACAAGCCCCAUGGUGAAAGGUAAAAUGAGUAAGUUUUAAGUCUUAACAGUUUAUUCUAACUCAAAGAUGAGAUCUUGCUUGAAUGCGUGUACUUUUAAGGCAUGAAACCACUGCAGAAACUCUUGAGUUCAUCCUUGCUCAGGGACUAGCAAGAGGUAAGCUUGGGGGAGUUGUUGACGGUCCUUAAGUACCAAAUAUAAUCAUCAAAUAAAUAAAGAAAAGGAUCCAAAUGCAACCAACAUCUAGACUUAGGGUUUUAUCUGACAGAAUUCCACGAGUUUUGGUGUUUGUCUAUUUCUGCAGGGGGUUAUCAGGAAAUACGGAAGAAAGGCCCACAUGUCGGGAUUACAUAGAGAUAUCAACUCACCGCGCAAUUUUAUACCAUCUAGAAGACUCCACAAGCCACGGGAAGAAAGCAUAGGCCGAAAGGGGCCAGGCCCAGGGCGCCCUCCCUCCUUCCCUGGGCGCCCGCCCUGACAUGGACUCCGUUCGGGACUCUCUUCGCACACGAUGUUCCACCGACCUAAAGGAUCAAGGAUAACGUAGUACCACAUCGCCUACCGACCCAAAAACGCAUAGAGGAGGAGGACUAUAGAAGGAGACCCCCUGGCCCCUGGAGAAGACAAGAAGUUAUCAUAGAGUUGAGGGGUGCCCUCGAAGGAAAACCUCUUCUCUAAAUAGAAUUUCUUUUUAGGCUUAGCAACCAAUGUGAGUAGAAAUAGAUCUUCUAGUUUCUACUAGAUUGAGAGAGAUAGAGUGGAGGUGAAGAUCGGAGGAAGGCCGGCCUGUCGGUGUCUACUCCGAGGUUGUACCUGCGGGAUCAAGUCUUCUAACCCGAGGCUUGCUUCUAAGAUUUUUCAGUAAUUCGACUUCUAAUUCUAGUAAGUUCUUGUUUUAUUGUUCUUUGGUUUAUGAGUUUACUUUAAUCCUCUUCUAGUUGAGUAUUAGAGUAAUCAUUGCUAGUGUAAACGUGGUGUUUAGGCUAGGGUACUCAUACAUAUCCCCUGACUAGCUGGACUGUGGUAGUAGCUAGGAACGUGACAUUUCUGAGUUACCUUUGUAUCCCACAUCUCGUUAGCAGGAAGGGUAGGGUUUAUAGGUGCGGGUCGAACAUCCUUUGUGGUGUCUAGAUUCCGUAAGCUUCCCCAAUAGAACAGUAGAUCAUCCUUACCAAGGUUAGAACGAGACUACGAUUGCAGUCUUCUCUAUACAUCACUCACAUCGAGAAACAUUCUUUGUAGCCUAAAGGGAUAGUAGCAAUAGAUUUGGUUAGUCAGAUGCACCCUUUCUCCCAGUGGUAAAAAUAUAAAUACGAUACUCUGGAAAACCUCCCGGGUGAAAUGCUCACCGAUAUCCGUGCGCUUGCGGAUCAUUUCCUGAUUGCGUUACCAAAUAUCAACACCGACGACUUUCUUCGUUAUCAGUGGAAAGGGUGCUUAUAACCUACUGUUGGGGAGAGAUUGGAUUCAUGCCAAUUGUUGCAUCCCAUCUACUAUACACCAGUGUUUGGUUUAGUGGGUAGGUGACAAGAUUGAAGUUGUCCUAGGAGAUUCUUCGUAUGUCAUUGCAUCGGCAGAGGCAGAUACUUAUGAGAGGACCAGGUGCAUCUCACAAGAAAUUUGGAAGAAGGAUUUCCUCAAUGUUGCCGAUUACGAAAUUUCACCGAACCAAGCAGUCGGUUCUGAUGAGGAGUUUUAAUGGAUAGGUUCGUCGAUGAUGGAAAAUUAGGCCAGGGGUUUACAUCGGCCGAUGAUUUAGUAAGAGUAGAUAUAGGUAAUGGUGAUAAGCCAAGACCUACUUUUAUUAGUGCUAAGUUAGAUUCUGAGUGUAAGUAAUAGUUAACUAAUUUGUUACGGGAAUAUAAAGAUUGCUUUGCUUGGGAUUAUACCGAAAUGCAUGGUUUAGACCGAUCUAUUGUUGAACAUCGGUUGCCUAUCAAAUCUGGAUUUCAGCCACAUCAGCAGCCAGCUCGCUGAUGUAAUCCUAUUAUUCUUCCUGACAUUAAGUCCGAAAUAACUAAACUUAUCGAGGCUAAAUUUAUUCGGCAAUGUCGGUAUGCCGAGUGGAUUUCCAAUGUUGUUCCAGUCUAUAAGAAAAAUGGGAAGCUUCGAGUCUGCAUUGAUUUCAGGAAUCUUAACAAGGCUACACCAAUGGAUGGUUGUCCAAUUCCAGUUGCCGAUUUACUAGUUGAUGCUGCGGUUGGACAUCGGAUCAUAAGCUUUAUAGAUGGCAAUGCAGGAUAUAAUCAGAUAUUCAUGGCUGAAGAAGAUAUUCCGAAGACCGCAUUUAGAUGUCCUGGUCAUGUUGGGUUUUUUGAAUGGAUAGUCAUGACCUUUGGCUUAAAAAAUGGUGGUGCUACUUAUCAGAGGGCUAUGAAUUUUAUUUUUCAUGAGUUCAUCGGUAAGCUGGUAGAAAUUUACAUUGAUGAUGUGGUGGUUAAGUCUGGGGAUUUCACAAAGCAUCUUGCCGAUCUGCGAAAAGUGUUGGAGUGCACAAGGAAACAUGGUUUAAAGAUGAAUCCUAACAAGUGUGCAUUUGGUGUAUCGGCAGGGCAAUUUCUUGGUUUCAUGGUGCAUCAGAGAGGAAUUGAAAUUAGUAGGAGAUCUAUUGAUGCCAUCAACAAGAUAGUUGCUCCUACCAACAAAACUGAACUCCAGUCUUUGAUGGGCAAGGUAAAUUUUAUCAGGCGGUUUAUAUCUAAUUUGUCUGGUAAGAUUCACGCUUUUAGUCCUUUACUUAAAUUGAAGGCCGAUCAAGAGUUUGUAUGGGAAAAGAGCAACAAUCAGCCUUGGAUGAAAUCAAGAAUUAUUUAACAAAUCCUCUAGUUCUGAUUCCACCUCAGCAAGGAAAGCCUUUCAGAUUAUAUUUGUCUACCGAUGGGAUGGUCAUCGGUUCGGCUUUGAUUCAAGAGUUUGAAGGGAAGGAGCGUGUGAUUUAUUAUUUAAGUAGAAGACUGAUUGAUGCUGAGACCAGGUAUUCGGCAAUAGAAAAAUUAUGUUUAUGCCUAUAUUUUUCAUGUAUUAAGUUGAGGCACUAUCUGUUGUUGGCCGAAUGCACUGUUAUAUGCAAAGAUGAUGUAGUCCGGUACAUGCUGUCUAUGCCGAUUAUGAGUGGUAGGAUCGGCAAAUGGAUUUUGGCGUUGUCGGAAUUUGAUCUACGUUACGAAUCGGCUAAGGCAGUUAAAGGACAGAUUAUGGCCGAUUUUGUCACUCAACAUUGCGGUGUAGUGGGAACUUUGGAAAUUGUUCCAUGGACGCUCUUCUUUGAUGGAUCUACGUGUGACCGGGGGGCAGAAAUUGGUAUAGUAUUAAUUUCUCCUCGGGGAAAGAAGUAUGAAUUCUCUCUGCCGAUUGUCGCCACGUCAACAAAUAAUCAAGCUGAAUACCAAGCUUUAAUCAAAGGGUUGGAAUUGUUAAAAGAGGUUUGUGCUGAUGCUGUUGAAAUCUUCGGAGAUUCUAUGCUUGUCAUAAAUCAAUUGGCUGGAAUUUAUGAAUGCCGAAGCGAGGUCUUGAUAACCUAUUAUGAAAAGAGUAUGCAGCUAUUAAAGGAAUUCAAGGAUUUCCGAUUAGAGCAUGUUCCUCGAUUACAUAACGAAGAGGCUAAUCGGUUGGCUCAGCAUGCCUCGGGAUAUCAACUCAUAUUAAACACGUUAUCGGCAAUCGGUGCCGAUGAUUGGAGAAAGGAGAUCAUUGAUUAUUUAAAGGAUCCAUCUAAAAAGGUUGAGAGGCGUAUCAGGUUUCAAGCCACCAAGUAUGUGCUCCUUGGGGAUGAACUAUAUUAUCGGACUAUAGAUGGAGUUCUUCUCAAGUGCUUAGGUGAUGAUGAGGCUAAAAGUUUGAUGGGUGAAAUUCACGAGGGAGUAUGUGGAGCAUCAGUCGGCUUUUAAGAUGAAAUGGAUGAUUAGGAGAAACGAUUAUUAUUGGUCGACCAUACUUGAGGAUUGCUUUAAAUAUUUCAAAGGAUGUCAAGGACGUCAGAAGUUUGGCAAUGUUCAAAGAGUAACCGCAUCGGCUAUGAAUCCCAUUAUUAGGCCUUGGCCGUUCCGGGGAUGGGCUAUUGAUCUAAUCGGCCAGAUUUACCCACCAUCAAGCAAAGGGUAUAAGUUCAUCUUAGUUGCUACUGAUUAUUUCACUAAGUGGGUUAAAGCUAUUCCUUUGAAGAAAGUCACAUCGGCUAAUAUGAUUGAUUUCGUGAAAGAGCAUAUUGUUUACCGAUUCGGUAUUCCUCAAACAACUACUACCGAUCAGGGUACCAUGUUUACAUCGGGAGAGUUUGAUGAAUUUGCAAUCGUUAUGGGGAUUAAAGUGUUGAAUUCUUCUCCUUAUUAUGCUCAAGCCAAUGGGCAGGCCAAGGCGUCUAACAAAGGAAUUAUUAAACUCAUCAAACAAAAGAUUGAAGAAAAUCCUAGAAGGUGGCAUACAUUGUUGAAUGAAGCUUUAUGGUCAUAUCGGAUGGCAUGUCAUGGGUCGACUAAAGUUUCACCUUAUCAAUUGGUGUAUGGACACGAUACAGUGCUACCAUGGGAAAUUAAAACCGGAUCUAGGCGACUAUCUUUUCAGGACCAGUUGGCUGCCGAUGACUAUGCUACUUUGAUGAAAGAUGAGUUAGACGAUUUAGCAGAACAUCGGCUGAGGGCUUUGAUAAGUAUAGAAGAAAAUAAAAGAAGAGUUGCUAGGUGGUAUGAUAAAAAGGUAAAAGCUAAGGAGUUUGCCAAUGGAGAUUUGGUGUGGAAACUAAUAUUACCGAUUGGGACUAAAAGUUCGAAGUUUGGCAAGUGGUCUCCUAAUUGGGAAGGUCCUUAUCGGAUAAAUCGGUAUGCUCCUGGUAAUGCUUAUAUUUUGGAAACUCUCGACGGAGUUGAAUUUCCCAGAGCUUUGAAUGGAAAAUAUUUGAAGAAAUAUUACCCAAGCAUAUGGGUCGAUGCAUGAAAAGUUUAAGUGCCGAUAACAUUCCUAUCGGCUGGAUUAAAAUGUAUCUGGGACUGAGUAUGAUGUUUUAAAAAGAUGCCGGUAACAGUCCUAUCGGGUAGACCAAAAUAAUCAGAAGUUACUGAAGGCAGAACAAGACAUGCCGCCAAUGGAGAGCUCAUAUACUCAGGAGGGCUUGGAUAGCCGAUAUGGCGCGCAGACGGAUUUGAUCGGCCUCUUCUAUCUCCCUGAUGUCUUCAUCGGCAGAACCCUCCACUGGCUUCAACUUCUUCUUCAUCUAUAGUGCCUUGCGGGCUUGAAUGUUUCGUUCUUGCUGGAGGGUCUUGAUCAUCUCGCGUAGCUGACUUUCUUCCUACUGAGCUUGAGAGAGGGCCUCUUCUACUUGAUUGAGCUCUGCCAGUAGGGCUUCCCUUUUUGCCGAUAGAUCAGAGAUCUUCUGCCUUAACGUCUCCCCUGAGGAUUGUAGGAUGCCGAUGCUCUUGUGCUUCUCAUCGGCAAGGCGUUUCACUUGCAUUACUUCCUCUGAGAGUUGGGCAUGGGUGGCUCUAUCGGCAAGGCGUUGAGUGGCCUUUUGGUACUGGAGCUGGACGGCUCUCCAAGUGUGCAACCUUGAAAAGGAUCUCUUCGGCAUCAGCAGGGAAUUGGCCUCUAAGAGCUUUAAACAGAGCCUUGGAUGGAUUGGAAUCAUCGACCAGUUAAGCAGUGUCCUGAUGAAGCAGGGCCAGCAGAUCUUCCAGCUUUGCUGUGAUUUGUGCCGAUGAAAUCCCUACUGCUUGAGAAGAGCUCGCUUCCUUGCCUUCAUCAUCAGAAAUUUCGAUGGCAAAGGAAAGCAAACUGUCCGGAGAGUCUUGUUCCUGGAGAAAAUGAGAUAAGUUAUUUGAUGGUCGAGUAUUCAUGAUAUAAAGGAUAGAAAUCAGAAGACUUACUUGUUUCCGAGCUAUUUCUCGCCUCUUACUAGUUGAGGCCGAUGGUACUAUAGGUUGAUCGGCUGGAGUUGCCGAUGGAACAAUGUCAGCUAAAAAAAUAUAAUAAUAAUGAUAAGUUGAAAAAUAGAUCCAUCGGCAAUAAUUUUAUGGACAGUACUUUACCUUGAGGGGGUGCAGUGCUUAUCUGAAUUGAGGAGACUACCGAUGCUAUGAUUCAACCCACUGGAUGGGUAGUCUGCUCACGUACAUCGGCUGAUGUCUCUUCUGGCUGAGGUGCUUCUUGCGGCUGAGGUGGAGAUGGUGCUUGUUGUGUCUGAACUUCUAGCGAAGAAGGGGACGAUUCCACAUGAAUCGGUGACCCUGGAGGAGGAGGAGGUGCUGCUGUCUUUUGACGCUUUGCUUGUGACUUAGUGCUCUUGGGGCCUUUUCUCUUAACUUGGCUAGACUGGGGGGCAUCGGCACUUGUCUUGGUACUUCUGGUCCUUGCCGAUUUGCCAGUUUGCUGAUGCAACAACAAAAGUUUCAUAAGUACAAAUGUAAUAGAGUAUUGAUGAAAUUUUGGGUGAAACAGUGAGUGUUACCGAUGAAGUUCCCAUAGCAGCUGAUUGUUGGGUAUUUUAAACGCAAACAGAAAAAUCCGCAAGCGCACGGAUACCGAUGUAGCCUUCACCCAGGAGUAUUUCAGAGUAUCGAUUUUCCAUAGAGAACGUGAGUGUACUAAUUACGAUCCAAGAUCGCCCAAGAAUAACUAUAUAAGUAUUUUUUGGUGGGAAGAGAGGAAGUUUCCUAAGAGUUCUCUAGUUGAUCUAAGAAUCAAGAAUUACUUCAAGAUUAUCUAUUUCGGGACAUCAGAGCACUAACCACAGAAAGAGAUGAAAAGGGGGCUAGGAAGGUCUGACUACGGUUCUACAAACACCAAUCCGAACGAGGUGGAAUACGUCGACCGUUAGGGCUGUCACUACCCUAAGGCUACCACAACAAUCCGCGGGAUUGGGUGCAAUUCCAGGUAAUUGCAAGACUAAACACCACGUCUAAUCUAUUAAUUACUACUCUAAUGUUUCAAAGAUUAGAGCACUUGAUGCAAGCGGGAAUCCAAUAAAUAACUUGAAUGUAAAUAAAAGUAAUUAAAGAACUCAGGAAUUAUGAAUUGAAGAACCUGGAGAACGACGAAGAACGAACCAGUUGCUGCAAAAGUACAAUGUUGAGGAAGAUCCGACAAGAUCCGGCUCCUCCGCUCUCCUCUUCUCUCUCCCUAUUUUCUAGAUUACAACUAGAACUAACAAGAAAUAGAACUAGAGGAACUAGAACUAGAACUAGAUGAACUAGAAAUAGAUCUAGAUGAACUAGAGGUAGAACUAGAAGAACUAGAGGGAUCCUAUCUACUUGGAUGAAGAAUUGAAACCCUAGCUUUGAUUCUGUAGAAGAUGUACGAUCUCCAGGGGCCAGGGGGGUCUGGUUUUAUAGUCCCUUCAAGUGAAUAUGGGCCGUUGGAUCAAACCGACAUUGAUUGAAUGGUUAUCCUUGAUCCUUUAGGUCGGUGGAGCAAUAUCCCGAAAGAGAGUCCUGAUUGGACUCUAUGUGAGGGCGAGCGCCCAGGAGAGUAGGGCGGGCGCCCUGUCCCUGAGUCCUCUCGGCUUCCCGUUCGUUCCCGUGGCUUCUGGAGUCUUCUAGAUGAUAGAAAAUUGCGCGGCACGUUAAUAUCUCUAUGUAAACCCGACGUGUGGGCCUUUCUUCCGUAUUUCCUGAUAACCCCCUGCAGAAAUAGACAAACACCAAAACUUGUGGAAUUCUGUCAGAUAAAACCCUAAGUCUAGGUGUUGGUUGCAUUAGGAUCCUUUUCUAUGAUUAGUUGAUGGUUAAAUGUGAGCAUUAAGGACCGUCAACAAGCUCCCCCAAGCUUAACCUUUGCUGGUCCCUGAGCAAAGAUGGACUCAAGAGUUUCUGCAGUGGUUCUAUGCCUUAAAGAUACACAUGCGUUCAAACAAGAUCUCAUCUCUGGGUUAGGGUAAACUGUUAAGAUUUAAACUUACUCAUUUUACCUUCCACCAUGGGGCUUGUAACCGUCACUUGUGUCUUGAGCAGUUAAAAGAUAGAACGGUCUAGUCAAGCGCCAUGUCUCAUGUUCUUCGAUUAACUAUAGCUCUGGAGUUUUUGCAGAUUUUCAAAUAAAACUCAGAGAUUCCUUGUAUGACUUUCUCAGAUCUCUCUUUUGUGGUAUUUCUAGAUCCUUACCAAGGCAGUGAUGGUGUAUGCCUUCUCUCAAAGUAUGUGGUAUUUUUGGUAUGAGGCAUAGUGACAUUGCCUUCUCUCUCACCCUACUCUAAUAAGGCUCUUGAUAUCUGGAGCUCAUAGGUGGGAGACAGCUAAUACAUACUUACAAGACAUUUAUUGCAUAGUCAAACCAUGGAUCCAGAAGAAUAAGUCAAUAAAUCAAAUCAAGAUGUGCAUGUGUGGCAAAUGAAUGGUGUAUGGUGAUGAUGGUGAUAACAAUGGUGAAAGUCUAAUUCUACUUCUGCUCUUUUGAGGGGGUACAUACCUUCCUUGCUUUUUUGAAACUUUUUGAGGAGAAUGAGAUGCUCUAUAUUUUCUUUUUCUUUUCUCUCAGGUUGGUAUCUUGUACCCCUAAUUCUACUGUCGGACACUUGUCCAUUUUUACCUCUCGUCUCACUUUUUCUUUUCUUUUGAGGUUCCGGGCACUUGCCCCUUUUUAUUUCCUCGUAUUCUUUCUCUUUUUUUAGAGCACCUAUCUCCUGAAAUAAUAUAGCAAGUGGUAGUAACCAUGAUAACUUGAGCAUUUAUUUCACAGGGAAAAACAUAAAUGUUUUUGGCUAUUCUCUCCCUGAUUAGGAGUAGAAUAUUUUUGGGUGGUUCUAGAGAUGGAAAAGAGUGGAUGUAUGUGGAUGCGUACUUCCAGAGUAGGAGAAGCAUGUGUGAGUGAACAUGCAAGUGAAUCUUGAUUUAACCACAUGACAAGCUCCUAAGGGUCUACACAACUUGACCACACUCAAUGCUCAUAAGCAGUAAAAAGUAAAUGUGGCUCAAAGUCUAGCAAGCAUGUAUAUAUGGCUGUGGUAGGAAUUUAAACUCUCAUCAUACAGGAACUCAUCAUGUAACAUUUUAAAGAUUUUUAAAGAUAAAAUUCUCCAGAAUUCUAGCAUCUCUAGGAACAGAUAAACAGCAGCUCAACCUUCCCAUAUCGUAUCCGUUAACGACUUAGACUUUAGAUCAAGUACUCUCCCCACAAGUUCAGGCUUAGAGCAAAACUUAAUUAAUACCAGUCAUGCCUAAACUUGAGAGAGAUUUCAAUUUUGAGAACUAGUCAUUGCAGAGCAACUAUUCAUCAUUUCUAUGUGAGAGCUUAUCAUGAGGGUUCAUAGCAAACUUUAUUUAUUUAUUUAUUUAACAUGCUAAGCAAAGAUAUAUAUAUAAGCACAAAAUCUUUAUUUGGGUUUUUAUGAUUAUGCAUCUUUUUAUUAUUUGAGUAAAAUAUAAACAUGAGUAGAGCACUUAGCUGGAUAAAUGGGGUUGCUCUCCCCCAAGCUGGAUUUUGACGUAAUUCCUUCUGAUGUAGCUAGUAGGUGGCAGAGGUGUAUUUGAAUGUUGGCAGCACCCUGACAGCGAUUAGGAUGUCCUCCGUCUGCUAGUCUUCUUUGAUCCUUGAAUUAUGUGGAGCUCAAAUAGACAACAAAGCUUUGUGAAACUAGUUAAGUGUUAGCAUAAAUAUGUAGCCUUUAUCAUGUUG